GAUCCUGGCUUAGGAUGAACGCUAGCGGCAGGCUUAACACAUGCAAGUCGAGGGGCAGCGGGAUGUAGCAAUACAUUGCCGGCGACCGGCGGAUGGGUGCGUAACGCGUAUGCAACCUACCCUAUACAGGGGAAUAACCUUUCGAAAGGGAGACUAACACCCCAUAGUAUUGAUUUAAGGCAUCUUAGAUUAAUUAAAUAUUUAUAGGUAUAAGAUGGGCAUGCGUAUGAUUAGCUAGUUGGUAAGGUAACGGCUUACCAAGGCGACGAUCAUUAGGGGUUCUGAGAGGAAGGUCCCCCACACUGGUACUGAGACACGGACCAGACUCCUACGGGAGGCAGCAGUGAGGAAUAUUGGUCAAUGGGCGCAAGCCUGAACCAGCCAUGCCGCGUGCAGGAAGACGGCCUUAUGGGUUGUAAACUGCUUUUACAUAAGACUAACCGUAUAUUUGCGAAUAUACCUGAAUGUAUUAUGAGAAUAAGGAUCGGCUAACUCCGUGCCAGCCGCCGC
rnacentral:rRNA from 1 species